rnacentral:rRNA from 1 species
GACGAACGCUGGCGGCGCGCUUAACACAUGCAAGUCGAGCGAGAACCAGGGCUUCGGCCCUGGGGAAAGCGGCGAACGGGUGAGUAACACGUGAGUAAUCCACUCUCGGUACCGGGAUAGCCCGGGGAAACCCGGAUUAAUACCGGAUGGCCCAGCAGCUCUUCGGGGCGGCUGGAAAAGGUAGCUUCGGCCUCCGACCGAGGACGAGCUCGCGGCGGAUUAGCUUGUUGGUGGGGUAACGGCCUACCAAGGCGACGAUCCGUAGCUGGUCUGAGAGGACGAUCAGCCACACUGGGACUGAGACACGGCCCAGACUCCUACGGGAGGCAGCAGUGGGGAAUCUUGCGCAAUGGGCGAAAGCCUGACGCAGCGACGCCGCGUGCGGGAAGAAGGCCUUCGGGUUGUAAACCGCUUUCAGGAGGGACGAAGCCACUCGGGUUAAUAGCCCAGAGGGUGACGGUACCUCCAGAAGAAGCCCCGGCUAACUACGUGCCAGCCGCCGCAGUAACAC